AUGCGCUGGUUUCUCUUUAGAAUGAAUAAACCUUUUGCCUUUUACUAAAGAUUUCUAUGAAGAGCAACAAUUGUGAAUUGGUAACCAAAUUUGGUUUAGACAGGACUAAAAC
ensembl:snRNA U5 U5 spliceosomal RNA